rnacentral:rRNA from 1 species
CCUACGGGGGGCAGCAGGGAGGAAUAUUGGUCAAUGGCCGAAAGGCUGAACCAGCCAAGUAGCGUGAAGGAAGACGGAUCUAUGGGUUGUAAACUUCUUUUAUAGGGGAAUAAAGGUAUCCACGUGUGGAUAUUUGCAUGUACCCUAUGAAUAAGCAUCGGCUAACUCCGUGCCAGCAGCCGCGGUAAUACGGAGGAUGCGAGCGUUAUCCGGAUUUAUUGGGGUUAAAGGGUGCGUAGGUGGUUUGUUAAGUCAGCUGUGAAAGUUUGUGGCUCAACCCUAAAAUUGCCGUUGAUACUGGAAGACUUGAGUGUGUUUGAGGUAGGCGGAAUUCGUGGUGUAGCGGUGAAAUGCAUAGAUAUCACGCAGAACUCCGAUUGCGAAGGCAGCUUACUAAGCCAUAACUGACACUGAAGCACGAAAGCGUGGGGAUCAAACAGGAUUAGAUACCCCUGUAGUC